UCUAAAAAAUUGGGAGAGUGCCGGUUGCUAUAUAAAGCAGUGGAAGAUUCACUGGAAUCUGUUCGUCGAGGAGGGAACUGAUCAAUGAAAGGCUUGCCGCCAUUGGAGCACAUAGGGAGGCAAUGGGUGGUAUAAAAUAAUUGAGCAGGGUUGAGCAUAUGAAUCUGCUAGGAGUUGGGAACCAGAGUUCCGAUGUAACCGACCCCGGCGAUGAAGAAAGCGAAUGAUUGAAGGAAGAGGUAGAUGAAGUAUCGGUUCUUCCCGAAGUUGAGAUCAUAGCAGCCGCAGAAGAAGAGAUAGGCUCCAACACAAAGCUCAAGCAGAUGGAGUCUGUUCAUCCACAAUCAGAAAGAACAAGAUUUUACCUUUCUCCAAAUCUAAACCGAGGUUUCCAGGGAGUUUUGGAACCUAGUUUAGUCUUUAGUGCAUCUCCCAAUUUCUCGGUGACGACCCAUUCAUUUACUCUCCCUGCUUCCAACAGACCGAUGAAUGUUGCCUUUGUUCGGUGCAGCGACAUGACAUUCUCGAAAAGGAUCCAGAAAAUGAUCAGGUGGAAUGAUCUGCAAUUCAAGAUUGUCAAUCAAAACUUUCUAACAGGUAAGAAGAUGACCUUGGUGUUCCGACUGCAUUUAGGAGGGUGAUCAUAGAAGGAAUAUAAACGGCACCCCAUUUUGGUACCGAUACUUCAGGAACCAAGACGGUAGCUGGCAAAACAACACAAUAAAAUACAAACGUGACAAUAUGGGCGAUGAUCUUCCGAACAAAGAAGAAGCUAUAGAUCAGGUAAAGCUUUUUCCACAGGGAGACUUUCUGCAGGCACAUAGAAAGCUAAUGGUGAGGAGAUACAUAAAGACAAUCCAACGAAUGAAAGCAACAUAUCCAAGGAACACUCAAACCAUGCCUUGUUCCUCAUGAUUUCAACAACCAUCUUUUUGAAGAGGUUCGCCGGGCCACAAGACCAUCGGUGUUGCUGAUAUCGGUAAGCUUUGAAGGUACUAGGCAAUUCAUUCUUCACCUGAAACAACUCAUUUUCAUUUACCAUUGCUUAAGAGCUGAAAAAACUAGCAAGAUUAAUCCCAUUUCCCACUUUUAUAAUCUUA